GAGUUUCUUCCCUUCUUAUUGGCCUGUAAUAAAGCAUAGAAUCCCUACAUGAUUACACACAAAUAACCUUUCUGUCCCCUCAUUUGUAAAUUACAAUUACUGCCACUACAGCGAUUCUAUAUGAAGUUUUCAAAGCUCUGAGGUCUACACGUGCCCCAAAAAACUUAUAGAGGGGCCCUAAGCAAAUGUUAGUGCUUUUCUUGCCUGGGCUAGUGUCUUUCCAAUUAUCCAAAGAAACUUAGAACUCAAAGUUGAUACCAAGUCUACAAUUGUGUUUCUCUGUCAAAUAAGCAGUGGUGGCAAAAUUCACUCCUCCCAAAACUUGUCUUUCUCCCUCUCCCACACAGCCCUUCUUGGUCUCCAAGACCAAAUGUCUUCCUCUAUGAUCGGGCUUAGAUGUCUGUCAGAACUGAGUGACUCAGAAGCAGAUUUCAUGGCCCCAUCACUUUCUGAAUAUCCUGAGGACCCUUCAAUCUGCCAUUCAAGAACCUGUUACCUGGCUCACUUUAUUGGUCUCCUCCAGUGUCUCCUACAUUUUCUAUUCAGCCAGUAGGUCUUCUCAGUUUUCCAAAACAAUGCACAUGUCUGCCUUUGUGUCUGCUGUUCACCUACCUGGAACACUUUUGCCUUUAGUCCAUCCUAAAUAGGCUUUUGCCAGGAAGCUAUCCUAGCCAUUGAAGAUCAUUGUACCUUGGUUUAGGAAACAAUGGGUUGAAUUCACAAAUUGAAUGAUCGCAGCAGGUAAAACAAGGAAGAGAGGCCAGUUCAAUGGGAAAUGAAUGUAUAAGUCUAAAAGAUAUUUGAUUUAUGGCAGCAUGUCUGAUACCCCCAAUUACUGCUGUUUUAAUGUAAAUGAGGUAUUUGUUUUAUUUAUUUAUUUUUAUUAAUUUCCUCUCUCUCUCUCUCUCUCUCUCUCUCUCUCUCUCUCUCUCUCUCUCUGUGUGUGUGUGUGUGUGUGUGUGUGUGUGUGUAUACAGGUGCCCAGGGAGAAAAGAGGCAAACUACCUGACCUGGGUACUGGGAUCAAUUUAAGUCCUCUGUAAAAGCAGCACAUGCUCUUAAUCUCUGAACCAUCUCUCUAGCCCCCAAAUGAAAUAUUUCUAAUUUUAUAAAAAGAAAAAUUAUAUCAAUCUCUUGUGUACAUUUUUAUAUUUUAUAUCCAGUGGCAUAUUGUCAAUGUCUGUCAUGUCAUUUAAUACUAACCUAAAUAAGUGUAAUGACUGCCUAAGGAUAAAACAAAAUAUGUUUAGUUAAUCUUGUAUUGUUGGAUAUUUAGUUUAUUUUGAAAUUUUUCCCAUAUUUUGUAAACAACUAUAAUGAGCCUCAAACUAUGUUUGAAAGGACUGCAAUUGUUAUAGGACACACCAAGACAAAGCUCUUAGCACAAAGGAGAUUUAUGUGCCCCAAAGGGCAGGGAAUAAGAGACAAGGUCUGGCAGUAGAGGACAAGUGAGAAGGGAAAAGGAACAAGGGAGAGGGGAAAAGAGAUAUUUCCCCUAGUGGGGCACAUGAUGACAAAAACUGCCUCUAGAGAGAGAGGAGAUGACAUGGCCCAGAAGCAAAUGGCAGUUUAUGAGGGAGGGAACCCCAUAUUAGGAUGAGUUGAUUUGUUUUGAUUGGGCAUGUUAAUUAGGUGAGCCAAAUGGGGCCAGAACUUUUGAUUGCUGGGUUUCAAAACUUUGAUAGCUGGACCUUGUUCAGCUUCAGAAGGAGCAAGUGGCCAAAUAAGGGAAUAGACCUUGGUGGCUAGCUUUAAGAUUUGUAAUCUAUGGUUUAGCAAGGAGGAGGGAAAGGGGAAGGGCAAGGCCUGCCAGAGCCUUGUUUGUCAUGCUCAGGCCUCCAAAACUCCUCAGUCUUCUUGUAGGAAAUUUCUCAGUAGUGACAUCAUAAUUUUUAUGCUCGGAUUUCGAAAAUUGUGUUGACAGAUAUCAUUUGAGGUGUUCUUGGAAAAAAUAAACAAAAGAAAAUAGGGUUGCA
rnacentral:lncRNA from 1 species